rnacentral:rRNA from 1 species
GUCCUUAGUUACCAGCACGUUAUGGUGGGCACUCUAAGGAGACUGCCGGUGAACAAACCGGAGGAAGGGUGGGGAUGACGUCAAGUCAUCAUCGGCCCUUACGGCCGUGGGCUACACACGUGCUACAAUGGUCGGUACAAAGGGUUGCCAAGCCGCGAGGUGGAGCUAAUCCCAUAAAACCGAUCGUAGUCCGGAUCGCAGUCUGCAACUCGACUGCGUGAAGUCGGAAUCGCUAGUAAUCGUGAAUCAGAAUGUCACGGUGAAUACGUUCCCGGGCCUU